rnacentral:rRNA from 1 species
UGGGGAAUCUUCCGCAAUGGGCGAAAGCUUGACGGAGCAACGCCGCGUGAGUGAUGAAGGUCUUCGGAUCGUAAAACUCUGUUAUUAGGGAAGAACAAAUGUGUAAGUAACUAUGCACGUCUUGACGGUACCUAAUCAGAAAGCCACGGCUAACUACGUGCCAGCAGCCGCGGUAAUACGUAGGUGGCAAGCGUUAUCCGGAAUUAUUGGGCGUAAAGCGCGCGUAGGCGGUUUUUUAAGUCUGAUGUGAAAGCCCACGGCUCAACCGUGGAGGGUCAUUGGAAACUGGAAAACUUGAGUGCAGAAGAGGAAAGUGGAAUUCCAUGUGUAGCGGUGAAAUGCGCAGAGAUAUGGAGGAACACCAGUGGCGAAGGCGACUUUCUGGUCUGUAACUGACGCUGAUGUGCGAAAGCGUUGGGAUCAAACAGG